UACGAAGGGGGCUAGCGUUGUUCGGAAUCACUGGGCGUAAAGCGCGCGUAGGCGGAUUGUUAAGUCGGGGGUGAAAUCCCGAGGCUCAACCUCGGAACUGCCUUCGAUACUGGCAAUCUUGAGUCCGGGAGAGGUGAGUGGAACUCCUAGUGUAGAGGUGAAAUUCGUAGAUAUUAGGAAGAACACCAGUGGCGAAGGCGGCUCACUGGCCCGGUACUGACGCUGAGGUGCGAAAGCGUGGGGAGCAAACAGGAUUAGAAACCCCAGUAGUCC
rnacentral:rRNA from 1 species